GCCUUUUGCAUUUCUUCCAUUUGUUUUCGGUACCUACAGAAUAAGAAUUUCUUUAAAUCCACUCUCUCAUUAAGUACUGGAAAAAUAAUUCUGAUUUUGAGAUUGGACAAUCAGGUUUUCUUAAAAUGACCUAUUCAGGACUAUACAAUACAGCAAUACACACAAAAGCUAUAACCAAUAGAUCUUGAGCAUCAAGCCUAUUCCUUUCAUUGUUAUAAAAAUUUUAAUGUAAAUAAAUAAAUAAAUAAA